CCUACGGGAGGCAGCAGUGAGGAAUAUUGGUCAAUGGGCUUACGCCUGAACCAGCCAAGUCGCGUGAGGGAAGACUGCCCUAUGGGUUGUAAACCUCUUUUGUCAGGGAGCAACGCCGGCUACGCGUAGCCGGACUGAGAGUACCUGAAGAAAAAGCAUCGGCUAACUCCGUGCCAGCAGCGGCGGUAAUACGGAGGAUGCGAGCGUUAUCCGGAUUUAUUGGGUUAAAAGGGUGCGUAGGCGGAAUGCCAAGUCAGCGGUAAAAGCGCGGGGCUCAACCUCGCUCCGCCGUUGAAACUGGCGUUCUUGAGUGGGUGAGAAGUAUGCGGAAUGCGUGGUGUAGCGGUGAAAUGCAUAGAUAUCACGCAGAACUCCGAUUGCGAAGGCAGCAUACCGGCGCCCAACUGACGCUGAAGCACGAAAGCGUGGGUAUCGAACAGGAUUAGAUACCCGGGUAGUC
rnacentral:rRNA from 1 species